rnacentral:tRNA from 1 species
GGUAGGAUGGCUGAGAGUAAGCGGUGGGUUGUAGCCCCACAAACAGAGGUUAAUGCCCUCUUCCUACUA